AUCAUUUGGCAAAGACAAAG
rnacentral:miRNA from 1 species